UGUUUACAUUUCUGAGUACUUAAGCUGAGAUUUGUAAGAGAAAACGUCAGAUUUGACAAUUGGUUAGAGCUCCAAAUAUAACAGGAAAGCAUAAAAUCCACUUGUGCUCAAUCAGAGUCAAAGCUUUUCCAUUCCCUCUCUCUUUCUCUCUCGCUUUCCACACUUUUCCGUUCAACCAAGACAUAUUCUCUUCAAAAAUACCUCAGCCUGGGCUACCAUUAGCGGUUAUGCACUUUUCUCUGGGCACCACAUUCUAGUCGCGUAUUAGUUCUUUCAGUGAAGAGUUUAAUCUAAAAGCAGACGUUCGACACAGUCCGAUUCAUAUCAUAAAGACCUUAGUAGUAUAAGUAGUGUGUGGUCCGUUGAAUUGACCACCGACCACCAUCGUAAUGUGUCUGUGUGUUUGUGUGGCAAAAGGUUUUGCACUUAAACACUACCACGACCUGAAGACAUUACACCGCAUAUAGUAUACAAUCAGGUCGCAACGAGGGAAUUGACUAAAAUGGAACACAAAUGAAAAAGUUGUGUUAAAUAAAUAAUGGAAAAAGAAGAUCAAAAUUUGAUUUGAAAUUAACCAAAAAUUGACGUAAAACUCUGAGUUACGUAAUAAAAGCAAAAAAAAAAAAAAUCAAAAAAAUAGUGCAUAAAAAGUAUUAAAAUUGCUAGUGCAAUAUUAAAAACAAUCACACAACACACACAAAUUCAUUAAAAAAACAAACACGCAUUAAUAAUAUAUGUGCGCUGAAAGAAACAAUGAGAAUUGCUAUCAUAUAUCAAAAGCAGCUGCGAAAGCGCUCACAAAAAUAACAAAAAAAAAAAAUUAGACUACAAGCAGCAGCGACAGUGUUGCAGUGAACGAAAAUAAAUUGGUGUUUGUAGUAGUAAUAAAAGAACCUCAACAACAUGCCACUAUAUGCAUACACUCAUCUAUAUAAGUUGAAACAACAAGC